AGAUAAGUCUUGUAUUCAAACAGCGUUGCUUAUCGAAGCUCCUACUUUUUGAAUGCUGAAAUGCAGUACAAACGUUCAGUAAUAGUACCAAAUAAAUCUUUGUACGUUGGAUACUCUAGUACUGUACCAUCAGGCUACGUUACCAAAUGAUGAAUGUGCAUUCAGAAAUAUUAUAGCCACGAUGCUAAGCUCGUACUUUAGGUGAAAGACAUGUUUCAUUAAACAUAUCAGGCCCUCUUCACUAUCGAAAUUCUUAUGUCUUUGGACCAAUUGAUAAGGUUUACAAUCCUGUAUCAUUAGGUACAGUGGGUUAACUAGCUAGUGUACUAGAUGACAUGCAAUCAACAGCGCUUUUAAAGAAAUAUUUAAAAAUGACAUUUCUUUAUUACUAUAAAAAAAUAAAAAGAAUUGUAUAAAGUCUCGGUUGUUAUCCUCUUAAAUUAAUUAGCUCAAUGGCAGAUAUUACAAUAUACGA